GUAUUUGUUAUAGCAUUAAAUUUAAAAGAUUUGGCGGUAAAUUAUUUAACUAGAGGAACUUGUUUUGUAAUCGAUAAUCCACGUUUAAUUUUUCCUUUAUUUGUUAGUCGGCUUAUAUACCGUUGUUUAUGAAAAUUUUUAUUGAAUUUUAAUUUUCUCAAUAAAUUUUUUAAUAAAAUCAAGUCAAGGUGUAGUUUAUAUAAAGGUUUAUAAUGAGUUACUUUUAUUUAUAAUAAUAGAUUAUAUUUUGAAAUGGAUAUAUAAAAAAGGAUUUAUUAGUAAUAAUUAAUUAAAUAGUAGUUAUGAAUUAUAUACUAAUUUAUGUACACAUCCCCGUCGCU
rnacentral:rRNA from 1 species